GCUUAUGCUGAAUUUGAAAGAAAGAGCUAGAAAGAAAGGGGAAAAAGAAGAAGGAAGCUGAAUGUGAGCCCUAGGAGGAGAAUUGAGAGAUUUGAAGUAAUCAAGAUCAAGCUUAGGCCAAAAUUGUUCUGAGCUUGUGGAAUCAUAAGGAUUGGCUUGGAGCUGGAAGCAAGGGAGCUUAAGGUUGAGUUCUUCAUUCAAGGUCUUUGGAGAGGCUCGGGUUAUAGGACCGUGCUCGCGGCUUUGGGGCAUCGGAAGCUCGGGAUGCAGGUAAGGGCAAAGAGAAAGUCAACCAGCCAUGAGUACGGAGAGCGUGGGGGCGGCGCGUACAUGUUCGGUCUGCCCGACUGUCUUGGUUGGGGAUAUUUUUGAGAAAUGGCUGUACAAACCCUAGUUUUGAUGGUUAAUUACUUAUAAACUUGUUUUGAGUUGUAAAUAUUUUAUAAACUGAA